rnacentral:lncRNA from 1 species
AGUUACAUCUAUAAUGGAAAUGGUUGGGUCCUGGUGGCAGAAGGAGGCUCUCUAGCAGACCAUUAAGGACCCAGAAGUGGGAGUACCUGUGAUUGAGACACAAAGCUGGCUGUGACUUCUUGGUCUUUCUUGUGAAGCAUUAGGUGCUAAAUAAGCAGACCUUUAGUAGCCUUCUUAAGGACACAUCUUCCAUGUUUCCAUCUUUGAAGGGAAAUGAAGGACAAAUGAGGCUCAGGGAUGACACUUCCUUUGAAUGGGAUGAAUCACAGCAUGAGGGAUCUUCGGCUUGGGAGACAUCCUUACUCCCCUAUUGGAGAACCGGGCAUAAACAGGAAGAUCACAGUGGCACACCUCCAGCAAAUGUCCUCCAGAGGCAUUGUGCCCUGAUGGGAGGCGGCUGCAUGCAGAUGGUAGGGAGGUAUCUUAAGACAAUGCGGCACAGGGAUCCAUCCCCUGAGAACUGGAUGUGCAAGCAUGAAGUAGUGGAGUCCCUGCCUAUUACCUUGCUACGACAGGCAGGGAGACACACCUGAUGAAGAUACCUAUGGCAAUGAAAUGAAGUCGUAUUCUCAGACCUCAGUAAUGGCUGGUGACUUCCACAGCAGUUGCUGAUGCCAGAUCCCACCAGACACUCCUCAGCUUCCUUAAAAUCUCAUUCUCGCCGCCGUUUACAUGCCAUUUCCUCUUCAGUAUGAAUGCAGACCCACAGCAUCAUUCCAGACUGUGGGACCUAUCCUCGACGUUAAAAAUUGCUUAGUAAAACUGGGCAGCAGCAGCAGAAACCAAACACUCACGCUUUUUGUUACAAGUGUGAAACCUGCCACUACGCGGCUGAGAGAUGUCACCAUGCUAGCUGUGGGCGAUCCCCCUUCGCUCCUGAGCUCACUCCCGCACCGAACGCUGCG